AGGUUUCGACGGAUCGGAACCACGGGGCGAGUAGUAUUUUUCGUUGUCGGGCCUGCCGCCCACUACCCGCGCGACGGAGCCUGUUUGGGUCCGCUCGUACAUGGGUUUUAUGGUUUGAUGUGUAAUAUUCAUGUUUGCAUAGAAGUCGAAGACGGUUGGCGCCUUAGUUAUUGCCGAUUAGAAAGUAGUGUACACAGGGCCUGCAAGAGGGUCCGAGAUCUUAGGGUGCGGGAAGUCCGCACCACUGGUCACCACCUCCGUAUGGCUAGAGCUCGCUUACGAGAGGAGUGGU